rnacentral:rRNA from 1 species
UACGUAGGUGACAAGCGUUGUCCGGAUUUACUGGGCGUAAAGAGCGCGCAGGCGGUCGAUCAAGUCGAGUGUGAAAGCCCCCGGCUCAACUGGGGAGGGUCAUUCGAUACUGAUCGACUCGAAGGCAGGAGAGGGUAGUGGAAUUCCCGGUGUAGUGGUGAAAUGCGUAGAUAUCUGGAGGAACACCGGUGGCGAAGGCGACGUCGUGCCGGCAUUGACGCUGAGGAGCGAAAGCCAGGGGAGCAAACGGG